GACGAAGGGGGCAAGCGUUGUUCGGAAUUACUGGGCGUAAAGGGCGCGUAGGCGGCCGCUUUAGUCAGGUGUGAAAGCCCUGGGCUCAACCUGGGAAUUGCACUUGAUACUGGGUGGCUGGAGAGCGGGAGAGGAUGGUGGAAUUCCCAGUGUAGAGGUGAAAUUCGUAGAUAUUGGGAAGAACACCGGUGGCGAAGGCGGCCAUCUGGACCGUAUCUGACGCUGAGGCGCGAAAGCGUGGGGAGCAAAC
rnacentral:rRNA from 1 species